AGUGAAUAAGGCGAUGGAGUUCGCCAUUAACCGCCUGCGGGCUAAUGACUCCUACCAAUGU
rnacentral:ncRNA from 18 species